rnacentral:rRNA from 1 species
UACAUGGGGUGCAACCGUUGCUCGGAAUUAUUGGGCGUAAAGCGCACGUAGGCGGUCGCUUAAGUCGGAUGUGAAAGCCCUCGGCUCAACUGAGGAAGUGCAUCCGAAACUGAGUGGCUAGAGUAUGGUAGAGGGUCGCGGAAUUCCCGGUGUAGAGGUGAAAUUCGUAGAUAUCGGGAGGAACACCAGUGGCGAAGGCGGCGACCUGGGCCGAUACUGACGCUGAGGAGCGAAAGCGUGGGGAGCGAACAGG